rnacentral:rRNA from 1 species
AUUGAACGCUGGCGGCAGGCUUAACACAUGCAAGUCGAGCGAGCGGGGGACGGGUGAGUAAAGUCUGGGAAACUGCCUGAUGGAGGGGGAUAACUACUGGAAACGGUAGCUAAAACCGCAUACCAUUUGCUGUGCCCAGAUGGGAUUUGCUAGUUGGGGGGGUAAAGGCUCACCUAGGCGACGAUCCCUAGCUGGUCUGAGAGGAUGACCAGCCACACUGGAACUGAGACACGGUCCAGACUCCUACGGGAGUCAGCAGUGGGGAAGAUUGCACAAUGGGCGCAAGCCUGAUGCAGCCAUGCCGCGUGAAUGAAGAAGGCCUUCGGGUUGUAAAGUUCUUUCGGUAGCGAGGCGUUAACUACAGAAGAAGCACCGGCUAACUCCGUGCCAGCAGCCGCGGUAAUUC